CCCGGUGCCUACAGGCUUGUGGCCACACCCGUUCCCAUCCCGAACACGGAAGUUAAGCACCAGCCGCCGAUGAUAGUGGUUCGUCCGCGAAAGUAGGUUAGUGCCGGGC
rnacentral:rRNA from 1 species